GAUGAACGCUGGCGGCGUGCCUAAUACAUGCAAGUAGAACGCUGAAGGAGGAGCUUGCUCUUCUGGAUGAGUUGCGAACGGGUGAGUAACGCGUAGGUAACCUGCCUGGUAGCGGGGGAUAACUAUUGGAAACGAUAGCUAAUACCGCAUGACAACAGUUAUUGCAUGAUAACUGUUUAAAAGGGGCAACUGCUCCACUACCAGAUGGUCCUGCGUUGUAUUAGCUAGUUGGUGAGGUAACGGCUCACCAAGGCGACGAUACAUAGCCGACCUGAGAGGGUGAUCGGCCACACUGGGACUGAGACACGGCCCAGACUCCUACGGGAGGCAGCAGUAGGGAAUCUUCGGCAAUGGACGGAAGUCUGACCGAGCAACGCCGCGGGAGUGAAGAAGGUUUUCGGAUCGUAAAGCUCUGUUGUAAGAGAAGAACGAGUGUGAGAGUGGAAAGUUCACACUGUGACGGUAUCUUACCAGAAAGGGACGGCUAACUACGUG
rnacentral:rRNA from 1 species